UGUGAGGUUUGAUCCCUGGCUCAGAUUGAACGCUGGCGGCAGGCUUAACACAUGCCAAGUCGAGCGGGAAAGGUAGCUCGGUACCUGACCCUAGCGGCGGACGGGUGAGUAAUGCUUAGGAAUCUGCCUAUUAGUGGGGGACAACAUUCCGAAAGGAACGCUAAUACCGCAUACGCCCUACGGGCAAAAGCAGGGGAUCUUCGGACCUUGCGCUAAUAGAUGAGCCUAAGUCGGAUUAGCUAGUUGGUGGGGUAAAGGCCUACCAAGGCGACGAUCUGUAGCGGGUCUGAGAGGAUGAUCCGCCACACUGGGACUGAGACACGGCCCAGACUCCUACGGGAGGCAGCAGUGGGGAAUAUUGGACAAUGGGCGGAAGCCUGAUCCAGCCAUGCCGCGUGUGUGAAGAAGGCCUUUUGGUUGUAAAGCACUUUAAGCGAGGAGGAGGCUCCUUUAGUUAAUACCUAAAGAGAGUGGACGUUACUCGCAGAAUAAGCACCGGCUAACUCUGUGCCAGCAGCCGCGGUAAUACAGAGGGUGCGAGCGUUAAUCGGAUUUACUGGGCGUAAAGCGUGCGUAGGCGGCUUUUUAAGUCGGAUGUGAAAUCCCUGAGCUUAACUUAGGAAUUGCAUUCGAUACUGGAAAGCUAGAGUAUGGGAGAGGAUGGUAGAAUUCCAGGUGUAGCGGUGAAAUGCGUAGAGAUCUGGAGGAAUACCGAUGGCGAAGGCAGCCAUCUGGCCUAAUACUGACGCUGAGGUACGAAAGCAUGGGGAGCAAACAGGAUUAGAUACCCUGGUAGUCCAUGCCGUAAACGAUGUCUUCUAACCGUUGGGGCCUUUGAGGCUUUAGUGGCGCAGCUAACGCGAUAAGUAGACCGCCUGGGAGAUGGGA
rnacentral:rRNA from 1 species